AAUCCCGUGAACCAUCGAGUCUUUGAACGCAAGUUGCGCCCGAAGCCCUCGGGCCGAGGGCACGCCUGCCUGGGCGUCACGCAUCGCGUCGCCCCCCCGCCCCGCCCGCUCCGGGCGGUGGCGCGGGGGCGGAGACUGGCCUCCCGUGCGCCUCCGUCGCGCGGCCGGCCC
rnacentral:rRNA from 1 species